GUUUCCUGGAAAACAGCACUAAAGAUGUGCAGAAGGAAGCAUAACCCAUUCAUCCGUCAGACCUAACCUGAAACUACAGGACUCGCUCAAAUGCCCCAGGACGUGGACAGAAAACUUAGUAAUCUGAACAGCACUGGAAGUGAAAUAAGAUGAGAUUCCUACUGCACUGCACCAUGGCACUGAAAAUGUAAAAUGGCAGUGAAAUAUCAGUCAUCAAGAUCCUCACAACAAGACAGCUUAUUAAUUUACUGUUGUAUCACAUGCUGCUGGUGUGGAAAGCAGAA